UACGUAGGGGGCAAGCGUUGUUCGGAAUUACUGGGCGUAAAGGGCGCGUAGGCGGCACGGCAAGUCGGGAGUGAAAGGCCUGGGCUCAACCGAGGAACUGCUUUCGAGACUGCCGAGCUAGAGUGCAGAAGGGGCAACUGGAAUUCCCAGUGUAGCGGUGAAAUGCGUAGAUAUUGGGAAGAACACCUGAGGCGAAGGCGGGUUGCUGGGCCGUAGACACUGACGCGUGAGGCGACC
rnacentral:rRNA from 1 species